UGCGCGUCUUCUCCGCCUCCACCUCUUCCCAUCCCAUUUUCUUCUUCAGUAUCAACACACAGAUUAGGGAGAUAGAGAGGAGCAGGAGAGAGACAAGGUUUAGACAGCUAGAGAGAGCUGAGCGACGGUGAUGGAGGAACGGGUGGUGCUCUCCGUCCGGCCACCGACCGGUGGCGAUGGUCCCCUCUUCUGCGAACACACUUGCCAGGGAUCCAAAAACCCACCGCCCCUUCUCAAUGACAUCUCAUUUCCACCCGCUCCGGUUUACUUUUCCCUCCGCCACCACAACCGUCGUACGUUCACCGGCAAAUCGAUUAGAAGCCGUUUUAAAGAGAUCGGUUGAAGAUUUCAUCGUGAUUUUCAUUCGUAAAAGGCUUAAGCGAUAGUUACAGAUCUGAUUCUGAAUAGGGGUUGGCCGUUGAUGACGAAGUUGACGGUGGAUUUGAGGUAACAGUGAGGGUUUACAACUGAUUCGAGGUUAUUUGAUUUAUUCGGUAUGUUUCGAUUUUGAUUAUUACGGGUGGUAUGCAGAAUAACAUCCCCUUUAAAAUAACCUAAAUAUCUAAGAGUUCCUUCCAAGAUAACCUCACAUGUUAACAGGUUAUACCAAACAGUAUAUAACAUCCCCACGAUGGUAAUGUCUGUCAAAACUGCAGGUCUUUCAAUUUGUCUGACCUUAGUACCUGAAGACAACCGUAUGUUUGUUUAUUCAUGUAUAACUUGUGAAUAUGAAGGAAUUGUGUGGAUGAUUUUGCUAUGACCAAAAAUAAAUUACUCAUAUGCAUGUUAUCUCAUAUAAUAGGUCUUUGUUGGAAGAUAUGAGGCAUGAGAAAAUCCACUUCUGCUUGGUGCCUGGUGCACACGAGGCUGUGAUGAGUUAUCAAAAUUCGGUCAAUAUGUUUCCAUAGCGUGGCAGCUAUGGAGGAUGGCAGGUUGUCGCCUGCAACCCCUACUGCAGCCAUGGUGGCUUCGUACUUUUGCUUUCUCUGAGCCUCAUGAAUCGAUUAAAUGUUGCCUUUGAGGUUGGCAAUGGUGAUUUGGAGGGAAAAAAUGUCGGCUGCAGAGGCGAUUCACCGGUUGGGUGUUGUCGGUCGGGUUCUUGGUACUUGAACAUUAAGUAAAUUAAUGGUUUUAGAACAAAGAACUAUGGAAGGUGGUCUAUGAUAUAUUUUCGAUUAAUGUAAACUGAUUGUUAGAAACUUACAGUUACAGCUAUGAACUAUAAAUUUAUCAUUAUUGUUUGGUUUAGUUCUCAUAUGUUUUAUAUGUGUUGGCAUUUAAAUCGUUGUUUUGUAUAAUCUGAUUGAGUGGAUCAACAUCUAAUACAGUAAGGUGAGCGACGGAUAGUUUCUUUCACGCGCUGUGCUUUUGGAUCUGGAGCCUGGAACGAUGGACAGUAUCAUAUCUGCCCUGUACGAUAUGAUCUUCAAGCCUGGUAACUUUGUGUUUGGUGUUAAGUUUUGUAAACAAUUAUAAAGACUUUAGUGGGAGACCACAAUACAUUGAGUGGGUUAGAAACUCGGGAGUUCAGCCCAGAAAUGACUAAUGAGGACGAUUUCUACACAAAUAUGGUAGUCACAGGGUAUUACAAGAACCAUGUUUAAAGUUAUUACAAGAGUAAAUACAAUCACCAAAUUCCCUUGCAAAAACGAAAACACAAUCAUAGCAUGGGAACUCAUCAACGACCCCCCUGCCAACUAGAUUACUCGGGACGAAUGGUUAAUGCUUGGUACAAGAAAAAGAAAUGGCUACGUUUGUUAAAUUAUUGGCAUUCCCGGAUGAUAGAGUUGACUUCCUCUGGUAGCUCAUCAUGGGGGCAAUGGCAUGAACAAGACAAAACGAAUGCCAUAACUAAUACUUAAAGGUGGGAAAACGAGCAGCUAAAUGUAACUUAUCAAAUGCAGUAGAGUGCCUUAUUGCUCUACCAAACCAGUUACAGUGACAAUAACUGAUGAAUGCCCGUGUGGAUGCAACGAUGUUCCCUUUCAUUUUGACCUAAGCGGAACAGCUUUUGGUACCAUGGCAAAUCUAGGACAAGCUAUGAAUCUUCGUAAUCUUGGUCAGGUUGAUAUUCAAAUUCGAAGGUAUACACAUCAUCAAUUUUAACAUAUAUCACCACUAGAAAACUAGCAUGUUCUUCAAGUUUGUUUAUAGUUAUAUAUGCAUAUGACAGAAGGUUAUCCUCUAUUGAAAGACAUGCUUAUUUAUUUUAAGGGGUGUAAAUUGGUCUGUCGCGAGUAAGAAGCGAAAACAUUAACAUUCACCAAUUUUGUUUGUUGUUGAGAUGUAUAUGUAGCUCAGUUUGAAGAUUCACAAGGAUUUUGUUGGUUGUGUGCAAAGCAUAUUUACAUAAGAACACCGCCCUUGGAAGAGGAUCAAGCUUCCAGUGGGAUUGUUAGUGAGGAGUCAUGGAGAGGAGUUGCAUAUUACAAAGGGUACAAACAGAAGUUUUAUAACAUAACAAAUAGGAAUUUAAUUUGGUAAAAGUUUCAAAAAAAUAACACUCUUUAUGAAAGACUAAGAUUAUUAGGAAAUUGCAAAGCUGAACAUGAGUGUGUGGGGAUUGCCUAACCUGAACAUGAUUUCUAUUUA